AGUUUUGCACGUUUACAAUUCUAAUUUUAAACAGCCAAUUACCAAGAAUCUGAUUGGCUGUUCAAAAUUAGAAUUGUAAACAUGCAAAAC